GACGAACGCUGGCGGCGUGCCUAACACAUGCAAGUCGAACGGAAAGGCGCUGAUCUUGUGGCGUGGUCGUGUGGCGAGGAGGUGAGAAACACGCGUGUAAACCGCCCUUAUAUUAGGGAUAAAACCUGGAAAAUGGGGCUAUAAUACGAUAGGAGAUCUUGAUCCACGGUGUGGGAUGGAAAAUUUCGGUGGUGGGGGAUUGAAUCGCGGCUUACCAGCUUGUUGGGGGGGUAGUGGCUUACCAAGGUUUCGACGGGUACCCGGCCUGGGAGGGUGACCGGCCACAUUGGGACUGAGAGACGGCCCAGACUCCUACGGGAGGCAGCAGUGGGGAAUAUUGCACAAUGGGCGGAAGCCUGAUGCAGCAACGCCGCGUGCGGGAUGACUGCCUUCGGGUUGUAAACCGCUUUCGCCUGUGACGAAGCGUGAGUGACGGUAAUGUGUAAAGAAGCACCGGCUAACUACGUG
rnacentral:rRNA from 1 species